rnacentral:ncRNA from 1 species
ACAAACACGUUGAUAAAGAGAGUACCACCUAUUAUUUUUCUAACAGAGAGUCUCGGUAGCUGAGAAGAGAUGAAAAGAUAGGUGCGAAGAUGGCUUUUGAGUGAUUGCGAUGACUCUAUAUAGACAGUCGCAAGCGGGUGCUUCCGUUAUCGAGUAGAAGUAACACGAUUACUUCAUGAGGUGCGUUAUUGUGAAAAACGCAUAAAUCAAGGUGGUAACAUGUCUCGUACAUCCUUAGA